AACGCGAAGAACCUUACCUGGUCUUGACAUCCACGGAAGUUUUCAGAGAUGAGAAUGUGCCUUCGGGAACCGUGAGGCAGGUGCUGCAUGGCUGUCGUCAGCUCGUGUUGUGAAAUGUUGGGUUAAGUCCCGCAACGAGCGCAACCCUUAUCCUUUGCUGCCAGCGGUCCGGCCGGGAACUCAAAGGAGACUGCCAGUGAUAAACUGGAGGAAGGUGGGGAUGACGUCAAGUCAUCAUGGCCCUUACGACCAGGGCUACACACGUGCUACAAUGGCGCAUACAAAGAGAAGCGACCUCGCGAGAGCAAGCGGACCUCAUAAAGUGCGUCGUAGUCCGGAUUGGAGUCUGCAACUCGACUCCAUGAAGUCGGAAUCGCUAGUAAUCGUGGAUCAGAAUGCCACGGUGAAUACGUUCCCGGGCCUUGUACACACCG
rnacentral:rRNA from 1 species